AGAGUUUGAUCAUGGCUCAGGAUGAACGCUGGCGGCGUGCUUAACACAUGCAAGUCGAACGGAGUUUACUUAACAGAUUCCUUCGGGAUGACGUUUUUUAAACUUAGUGGCGGACGGGUGAGUAACGCGUGGGUAACCUGCCUUACACAGGGGGAUAGCAGUUGGAAACGACUGGUAAUACCGCAUAUCUUACAUUAUUCGCAUGUUUGAUGUAAGAAAGAUUUUAUCGGUGUAAGAUGGACCCGCGUCUGAUUAGCUAGUUGGUGUGGUAACGGCAUACCAAGGCGACGAUCAGUAGCCGGCCUGAGAGGGUGAACGGCCACAUUGGGACUGAGAUACGGCCCAGACUCCUACGGGAGGCAGCAGUGGGGAAUAUUGCACAAUGGAGGCAACUCUGAUGCAGCGACGCCGCGUGAGUGAAGAAGUAUUUCGGUAUGUAAAGCUCUAUCAGUAGGGAAGAUAAUGACGGUACCUACAGAAGAAGCCCCGGCUAAGUACGUGCCAGCAGCCGCGGUAAUACGUAUGGGGCAAGCGUUAUCCGGAUUUACUGGGUGUAAAGGGAGUGUAGGCGGCAGUACAAGUCAGGAGUGAAAACUUGGGGCUCAACCCCAAGACUGCUUUUGAAACUGUACAGCUAGAGUGUAGGAAGGGCAAGCGGAAUUCCUGGUGUAGCGGUGAAAUGCGUAGAUAUCAGGAAGAACACCGGUGGCGAAGGCGGCUUGCUGGACUAUAACUGACGCUGAGACUCGAAAGCGUGGGGAGCGAACAGGAUUAGAUACCCUGGUAGUCCACGCUGUAAACGAUGAAUACUAGGUGUUGGGUCUCGAUAGAGAUUCGGUGCCGAAGCAAACGCAUUAAGUAUUCCACCUGGGGAGUACGUUCGCAAGAAUGAAACUCAAAGGAAUUGACGGGGACCCGCACAAGCGGUGGAGCAUGUGGUCUAAUUCGAAGCAACGCGAAGAACCUUACCAGGUCUUGACAUCCGACUAACGAGAUAGAGAUAUGUCAGGUGCCCUUCAGGGAAAGUCGAGACAGGUGGUGCAUGGUUGUCGUCAGCUCGUGUCGUGAGAUGUUGGGUUAAGUCCCGCAACGAGCGCAACCCCUGCCAUUAGUUGCUACGCAAGAGCACUCUAAUGGGACCGCUACCGACAAGGUGGAGGAAGGUGGGGACGACGUCAAAUCAUCAUGCCCCUUAUGACCUGGGCUACACACGUAAUACAAUGGUCAUUAACAGAGGGAAGCAAAGCCGCGAGGCAGAGCAAAUCCCCAAAAAUGAUCUCAGUUCGGAUCGCAGGCUGCAACCCGCCUGCGUGAAGUUGGAAUUGCUAGUAAUCGCAGAUCAGCAUGCUGCGGUGAAUACGUUCCCGGGUCUUGUACACACCGCCCGUCACACCAUGGGAGUUUGUAACACCCGAAGUCUGUUGCCUAACCGCAAGGAGGGCGCAGCCGAAGGUGGGAUAAGCGACUGGGGUGAAGUCGUAACAAGGUA
rnacentral:rRNA from 1 species